rnacentral:rRNA from 1 species
AAAGUAAGGGAUAAGCCACCGAAAGGUGGUCUAAUACCUUAUAGUAUCCAUCUCGUAUGGAUUAAAGCUUUAUGCGCUUUGGGAGGGGCCUGCGUUUGAUUAGCUAGUUGGUGAGGUAAAAGCUCACCAAGGCGACGAUCAAUAGCUGGUUUGAGAGGAUGACCAGCCACACUGGGACUGAGAUACGGCCCAGACUCCUACGGGAGGCAGCAGUAAGGAAUCUUCCACAAUGGGGGCAACCCUGAUGGAGCAAUACCGCGUGCGGGAUGAAGCGUUUCGGCGUGUAAACUGCUUUAUCACCGAAGAUUAUGACUGUAGGUGAAGAAUAAGGACCGGCUAACUACGUG